rnacentral:tRNA from 2 species
GAGAACGAGGGGGCGGAUGUAGCCAAGUGGAUCA